rfam:Flavobacterium johnsoniae TW101, complete genome.
CUAUAGCCCUGAUAGAAGCGGUAUCCUUUUUCUUGCUUCUUUAGCAAGAAAAAGAUACAAGCGGAUAGCAGGAAAUUGC